UCGAGCGUGGUGUAUGAUGCACAGCCCUUAAUUGUAAACACUCGUGACUGUUGUGAAGGGCAGGACGGGGUUCGAUUCCCCGCGUUCGAA